ACAAUCUUGACUGCAUUGUAUUCAGCUCAUCUUCGGCCUGAAGGUUUACAGCUCGACAUCAACUCCAGCCUCAGCGGAUCCAAAUCAGCUGCAGAAUCAUGGCUACAGUCUCCAUUGAAUAUUGUUCAGGAUGAGGUUACUCGUGGCGCUACCGGGAGCUUGCUGCUGUCCUGCAGCAGAUUCCUGGGGUGAAGCAGGUGACUGGAGCCACCGGGCGGUCAGGAAGCUUUGAGGUGUCAGUGGAUGGCUGUGUGAUCUACUCCAAGCUCAAGGAGGGAUCGUUUCCUCAAAAUGACAAGGUGGUGGAGAAGGUGAAGAAGUGCAUUAAAGCUGGGCAGAAAAAUCAAACCUCUCAUUAGAAGAUGGAGGUUAAAAGGUCUGCUGUAUUCACACUGCAAGAACAAUGGUUUGUUUCUUCUCAUGGUUCAGAACACAUCUGCUCACAGCUGCUUAUCUGAAUAUUAAAAUAAGACAUUAACAAAAAUGUCAUGUCAUUUUGGACCAAAAUCAAAACAAGUCAACCAUGAGAAGGUCAGAUCGUAUGUCUUCACUGUGAAUACAGACAAAGACGAGAAGAUGGCGAGGGCGUCUCUGAGGAGCCGGGCACUGAUCUGCACUUCUGUGUAUGAAUGUACGCACUAAAAGUCAUGCGGUGUGUACACGAUGAAAGUCCAGAAGCUCUUCAGCUGACUGAAGCCACAGGAACUGCUCUCGUCAUGUCCGUCUGGUAUUUACUCAUAAAUAUAUAUCGUCUCUACUGCUGCAUUACUCAGGAAUCUUUAUCAAGCCACUUCUAUUUUUUUCCAUAGUCAGCUUAGCAUAAAGAAUGGAAAUGGGAAACUCCUUCUUUUCUAACAUAUCAUAUAUAUACAAUUUAUAUUGAUACUUCCCUUAUAUGCUUUACUUCAAAUAAAUACAUGGACUAUCACCUGAAGAUGUUUUUUAAAUAGACUACUGCCAUCUGUUACAUUACCAGCUAAAAUAAACUAUAAAUCAAAGAAGAAUGUUGAAUCAACUUACAGUAUUGGUAUAAUACUAAAUUUUUAAUCAAUUCCAACAAAUUAUAAUUUCCUGAAGUGCAAUAAAAAAACUUUUAAAAAUCAA